CUAAAAAUCUAGCCUAAUAUAUUAUCAUAGUAUCAAAGUAAAACCAAAGUAUUUUAACAAUCUAGUACAGAAGAUCAAAAAAUUAAUUAGAGCUAUAAAUAUGUACCGUAAGGGAAAGAUGAAAUAAUAAUGAAAUACUCAAAAGUAUAAAAAAGUAGAGUUAAGCCCUCGUACCUUUUGCAUCAUGGUUUAACUAGCAAAAUCAGGCAAAAAGAAUUAUAGUCUGAUACCCCGAAACUAAGUGAGCUACACUAGGACAGCUUAAUGAGCCAACCCGUCUCUGUUGCAAAAGAGUGGGAAGAUCUUAGAAUAGAGAUGAUAUAUCUAACGAACCUAGCGAUAGCUGGUUACUCAAGAAAAGAAUUUAAGUUCAACCUGAAGCUACAACUAUACAUAUAAAAAUAAAAUUUUAACUUCAGAGUAAAUCAGAUAAGUAAGAGCCUAUCUGAAACAGGAUACAGCCUCCGUCUAUGGGUAAUGUUACACUUAAAUAACCAAGUAGGCCUAAAAACAGCCACCUUUAAAAAAGCGUCAAAGCUUAAUUACCAUACCCAAUAAAUCCCUAAAGUAAACUAAAACCCUUCCCCAGUACUGAGUAAUUCCAUAUGUUUAUGGAAAAUAUUAUGUUAAAACUAGUAACAUGAAAUUAAACCUCUCUUAAAUGUACGUCUAAGUCAGAAUGGAGUAUACACUGACAACUAACAGCUUAGACUAAAGUAGUAAAAUAUUCAAGAAAACUCAACUUAUUUAUCUGUUAAUCUAACACAAGAACAUUAAAAGAAAGACUUAAAGAGAAAGAAGGAACUCGGCAAAACUGAUUCCGCCUGUUUACCAAAAACAUCGCCUCUUGAAUUUUAACUAUAAGAGGUCCAGCCUGCCCAGUGACUCUGUUUAACGGCCGCGGUAACCUAACCGUGCGAAGGUAGCGUAAUCACCUGUUUUUUAAUUAAAGACCUGUAUGAAAGGCAUCACGAGAAUCACACUGUCUCCUUUCUCAGGUCAGUGAAACUAAUCUCCUCGUGAAAAAGCGAGGAUAACAUUACAAGACGAGAAGACCCUUUGGAGCUUAAGACAAAAUAGAUACUUGCCUUAUUUUAACCCCCCAUCACACAGCAUACUACCUAUAAGUCUUGGGUUGGGGCAAUCACGGAGUAAAAACAAACCUCCGAGCUGAAUGGAAAUUUCCUAAACAAAAAGCAACAACUUUAUGUAUCAACAAACUGACACAAUUUGACCCAAUACAUUUGAUUAACGAACCAAGUUACCCCAGGGAUAACAGCGCAAUCCACUUAAAGAGUUCAUAUCGAAAAGUGGGCUUACGACCUCGAUGUUGGAUCAAGGUAUCCUGGUGGUGCAGCCGCUACCAAAGGUUCGUUUGUUCAACGAUUAAAACCUCACGCGAUCUGAGUUCAGACCGGAGAAAUCCAGGUCAGUUUCUAUCUGUAAAGAGCUCUUUCCAGUACGAAAGGACAGAAACAGCAUGGCCAAUGUAUUACACAAGGCCAUACCUAAUAUCUCACGACUAUUCUUAAAAAGUUAUUACCCUCUCAUCCUUCUCAAGAUAAGAGAA
rnacentral:rRNA from 1 species